rnacentral:rRNA from 1 species
UACGUAGGGGGCAAGCGUUGUCCGGAUUUAUUGGGCGUAAAGAGCGUGUAGGCGGCUGGGUAGGUCCGUUGUGAAAACUCGAGCUCAACCUCGAGACGCCGAUGGAAACCCUCCAGCUAGAGUCCGGAAGAGGAGAGUGGAAUUCCUGGUGUAGCGGUGAAAUGCGCAGAGUAUCAGGAAGAACACCCGUGGCUAAGGCGGCUCUCUAGUACGGUACUGACGCUGAGACGCGAAAGCGUGGGGAGCGAACAGG